UACGAAGGGGGCUAGCGUUGCUCGGAAUCACUGGGCGUAAAGCGCACGUAGGCGGACUCUUAAGUCGGGGGUGAAAUCCUGGAGCUCAACUCCAGAACUGCCUUCGAUACUGAGAGUCUUGAGUCCGGGAGAGGUGAGUAGAACUGCGAGUGUAGAGGUGAAAUUCGUAGAUAUUCGCAAGAACACCAGUGGCGAAGGCGGCUCACUGGCCCGGUACUGACGCUGAGGUGCGAAAGCGUGGGGAGCAAACAGG
rnacentral:rRNA from 1 species